CCGAGUGCGGGCCCUCGCGGCCCAACCUCCCACCCUUGUCUCUAUCCACCUGUUGCUUUGGCGGGCCCACCGGGGCCACCUGGUCGCCGGGGGACGUUCGUCCCCGGGCCCGCGUCCGCCGAAGCACCCUGUGAACCCUGAUGAAGCUGGGCUGUCUGAGUACGAUGAAAAUUGUCA
rnacentral:misc_RNA from 1 species